UACGGAGGGUGCAAGCGUUGUUCGGAAUUAUUGGGCGUAAAGCGCGCGCAGGCGGCCCGUUAAGUCUGAUGUGAAAACCCUCGGCUCAACCGAGGACGUGCAUUGGAUACUGGGGGGCUUGAGUCUCGGAGAGGAAAGCGGAAUUCCCAGUGUAGAGGUGAAAUUCGUAGAUAUUGGGAGGAACACCGGUGGCGAAGGCGGCUUUCUGGACGAUGACUGACGCUGAGGCGCGAAAGCGUGGGUAGCAAACAGG
rnacentral:rRNA from 1 species